UCCUGACUGACCGAUAGUGAACCAGUACCGUGAGGGAAAGGCGAAAAGAACCCCGGCGAGGGGAGUGAAAAAGAACCUGAAACCGUGUACGUACAAGCAGUGGGAGCACGCUUAGGCGUGUGACUGCGUACCUUUUGUAUAAUGGGUCAGCGACUUAUAUUCUGUAGCAAGGUUAACCGAAUAGGGGAGCCGAAGGGAAACCGAGUCUUAACUGGGCGUUAAGUUGCAGGGUAUAGACCCGAAACCCGGUGAUCUAGCCAUGGGCAGGUUGAAGGUUGGGUAACACUAACUGGAGGACCGAACCGACUAAUGUUGAAAAAUUAGCGGAUGACUUGUGGCUGGGGGUGAAAGGCCAAUCAAACCGGGAGAUAGCUGGUUCUCCCCGAAAGCUAUUUAGGUAGCGCCUCGUGAAUUCAUCUCCGGGGGUAGAGCACUGUUUCGGCAAGGGGGUCAUCCCGACUUACCAACCCGAUGCAAACUGCGAAUACCGGAGAAUGUUAUCACGGGAGACACACGGCGGGUGCUAACGUCCGUCGUGAAGAGGGAAACAACCCAGACCGCCAGCUAAGGUCCCAAAGUCAUGGUUAAGUGGGAAACGAUGUGGGAAGGCCCAGACAGCCAGGAUGUUGGCUUAGAAGCAGCCAUCAUUUAAAGAAAGCGUAAUAGCUCACUGGUCGAGUCGGCCUGCGCGGAAGAUGUAACGGGGCUAAACCAUGCACCGAAGCUGCGGCAGCGACGCUUAUGCGUUGUUGGGUAGGGGAGCGUUCUGUAAGCCUGCGAAGGUGUGCUGUGAGGCAUGCUGGAGGUAUCAGAAGUGCGAAUGCUGACAUAAGUAACGAUAAAGCGGGUGAAAAGCCCGCUCGCCGGAAGACCAAGGGUUCCUGUCCAACGUUAAUCGGGGCAGGGUGAGUCGACCCCUAAGGCGAGGCCGAAAGGCGUAGUCGAUGGGAAACAGGUUAAUAUUCCUGUACUUGGUGUUACUGCGAAGGGGGGACGGAGAAGGCUAUGUUGGCCGGGCGACGGUUGUCCCGGUUUAAGCGUGUAGGCUGGUUUUCCAGGCAAAUCCGGAAAAUCAAGGCUGAGGCGUGAUGACGAGGCACUACGGUGCUGAAGCAACAAAUGCCCUGCUUCCAGGAAAAGCCUCUAAGCAUCAGGUAACAUCAAAUCGUACCCCAAACCGACACAGGUGGUCAGGUAGAGAAUACCAAGGCGCUUGAGAGAACUCGGGUGAAGGAACUAGGCAAAAUGGUGCCGUAACUUCGGGAGAAGGCACGCUGAUAUGUAGGUGAAGUCCCUUGCGGAUGGAGCUGAAAUCAGUCGAAGAUACCAGCUGGCUGCAACUGUUUAUUAAAAACACAGCACUGUGCAAACACGAAAGUGGACGUAUACGGUGUGACGCCUGCCCGGUGCCGGAAGGUUAAUUGAUGGGGUCAGCGCAAGCGAAGCUCUUGAUCGAAGCCCCGGUAAACGGCGGCCGUAACUAUAACGGUCCUAAGGUAGCGAAAUUCCUUGUCGGGUAAGUUCCGACCUGCACGAAUGGCGUAAUGAUGGCCAGGCUGUCUCCACCCGAGACUCAGUGAAAUUGAACUCGCUGUGAAGAUGCAGUGUACCCGCGGCAAGACGGAAAGACCCCGUGAACCUUUACUAUAGCUUGACACUGAACAUUGAGCCUUGAUGUGUAGGAUAGGUGGGAGGCUUUGAAGUGUGGACGCCAGUCUGCAUGGAGCCGGCCUUGAAAUACCACCCUUUAAUGUUUGAUGUUCUAACGUGGACCCGUGAUCCGGGUUGCGGACAGUGUCUGGUGGGUAGUUUGACUGGGGCGGUCUCCUCCUAAAGAGUAACGGAGGAGCACGAAGGUUGGCUAAUCCUGGUCGGACAUCAGGAGGUUAGUGCAAUGGCAUAAGCCAGCUUGACUGCGAGCGUGACGGCGCGAGCAGGUGCGAAAGCAGGUCAUAGUGAUCCGGUGGUUCUGAAUGGAAGGGCCAUCGCUCAACGGAUAAAAGGUACUCCGGGGAUAACAGGCUGAUACCGCCCAAGAGUUCAUAUCGACGGCGGUGUUUGGCACCUCGAUGUCGGCUCAUCACAUCCUGGGGCUGAAGUAGGUCCCAAGGGUAUGGCUGUUCGCCAUUUAAAGUGGUACGCGAGCUGGGUUUAGAACGUCGUGAGACAGUUCGGUCCCUAUCUGCCGUGGGCGCUGGAGAACUGAGGGGGGCUGCUCCUAGUACGAGAGGACCGGAGUGGACGCAUCACUGGUGUUCGGGUUGUCAUGCCAAUGGCACUGCCCGGUAGCUAAAUGCGGAAGAGAUAAGUGCUGAAAGCAUCUAAGCACGAAACUUGCCCCGAGAUGAGUUCUCCCUGACCCUUUAAGGGUCCUGAAGGAACGUUGAAGACGACGACGUUGAUAGGCCGGGUGUGUAAGCGCAGCGAUGCGUUGAGCUAACCGGUACUAAUGAACCGUGAGGCUU
rnacentral:rRNA from 1 species